CAGCUCUUACCAACAAAACCGGUGGGGAACGUAUAAUAAAUGAAUACAACCGAACCAAGUCCUUGACGGAUGAAACAAGACGCAAAAUGGUGAACAUGCUGGCAGCUGACAUGACAGAAAAGAAUGGUACAUCUCCAUCCAGACAGGUGAAAGAAAUGUAUGCCAAAGGAAUAGUGACCUUAUUCCCGUACCUCAGUGACCCAUUCUCUAAGAAUGGCUAUGAGCAUUAUUAUGAUGGCGAGAGUGGAACUGGGUACUUGGCCUGGAGGAUUAAAACUAUUCAGAGAGGCACCGCCAAAGACAGGCGAUCAUCAUUCGGAG